AGAGUGGACUCCACUUGCUUGGUCCCACUGCAUUCCACCCCUCACAGGAGGGGGAGCACAGAUGUUGCAGCAAUGUAGACACAGAGAGAAAGUCCUCACCAGACACAGACUCUGCUGGAACCUUAAUCUUCAACUUCCCAGCCUCCAGAACUGUGAGAGAAUAAAUUUUGGGGCUGGGUUGCCCAGGGCCUUGGGGGACAACCCCUGCCCCAGUGUGUCUAAAAGUUCUGUAAGGAGCAGUUCAUUUCAGGUUUGGAAGGCUGUUGGAAGAGACAUUUUCCAUCCUGGGUCAGGAGGAAGGAGACUAUGGAAAUGAUGUUAGACAAAAAGCAAAUUUGAGCGAUUUUCUUAUUUGAGUUCAGAAUGGGUUGUAAAGCAGCAGAGACAACUUGCAACAUCUACAGUGCAUUUCGCCCAGGAACUGCUAACAAACGUAUAGAGCAGUGGUAGUUCAAGAAGUGUUGCAAAAGAGACAAGAGCCUUGAAGAUGAGGAGUAUGGUGGCUGGCCAUCGGAAGUUGACAACAACCAAUUGAAAGCUAUCAUAGAAGUUGAUCCUCUUACAACUACACGAGAAGUUGCCAAAGAACUCACCUUGACAUUUCUACAGUCAUUUUGCAUUUGAAGCAAAUUGGAAAGUUGAAAAAGCUAGAUAAGUGGGUGCCUCAUGAGCUGACCAAAAAUCCAAAAAACUUCAUUUUGAAGUGUCAUCCUCUCUUAUUCUAUGCAACAACAUGAACCAUUUCUCGAUUGGAUUGUGACGUGUGAUGAAAAGUGGAUUUUAUAUGACAACAAGUGAUGACCAGCUCAGUGCCUGGACCAAGAAGAAGUUCCAAAGUACUUUCCAAAGCCAAACUUGCACACAAAAAAAGCAUGGUCACUGUUUGGUGGUCUGCUGCUGGUCUGUUUUACUACAGAUUUUUUUUUUUUGAUGGAGUCUUGUUCUAUCAUCCAGGCUAAAUGGGCUUCCAAUGGAACCAAAAAAGAGCCUGCAUUUCCAAGACAAUCCUAAACCAAAAGAACAAAGCUGGAGGCAUCACGC